GGCGGACGGGUGAGUAACGCGUGGGUAACCUGCCUCAUACAGGGGGAUAACAGUUAGAAAUGACUGCUAAUACCGCAUAAGACCACAGUACCGCAUGGUACAGGGGUAAAAACUCCGGUGGUAUGAGAUGGACCCGCGUCUGAUUAGGUAGUUGGUGGGGUAACGGCCUACCAAGCCGACGAUCAGUAGCCGACCUGAGAGGGUGACCGGCCACAUUGGGACUGAGACACGGCCCAA
rnacentral:rRNA from 1 species